UACGUAGGCAGCGAGCGUUGUUCGGAGUUACUGGGCGUAAAGGGUGCGUAGGCGGUUGUUUAAGUUUGGUGUGAAAUCUCCCGGCUCAACUGGGAGGGUGCGCCGAAUACUGAAUGACUAGAGUGCGGGAGAGGAUAGUGGAAUUCCUGGUGUAGCGGUGAAAUGCGUAGAUAUCGCUUGGAACGCCAAAGGUGAAAACAGGUUGGCUGGGGUUGUGCCGACGCUGAGGACACGAAAGCCAGGGGAGCAAACGGG
rnacentral:rRNA from 1 species